GAUGAACGCUAGCUACAGGCUUAACACAUGCAAGUCGAGGGGCAGCAUGAUUGAAGCUUGCUUCAAUCGAUGGCGACCGGCGCACGGGUGAGUAACACGUAUCCAACCUGCCGAUAACUCGGGGAUAGCCUUUCGAAAGAAAGAUUAAUACCCGAUAGUAUAGUAUUUCCGCAUGGUUUCACUAUUAAAGAACUUCGGUUAUCGAUGGGGAUGCGUUCCAUUAGAUAGUUGGCGGGGUAACGGCCCACCAAGUCAACGAUGGAUAGGGGUUCUGAGAGGAAGGUCCCCCACAUUGGAACUGAGACACGGUCCAAACUCCUACGGGAGGCAGCAGUGAGGAAUAUUGGUCAAUGGACGAGAGUCUGAACCAGCCAAGUAGCGUGAAGGAUGACUGCCCUAUGGGUUGUAAACUUCUUUUAUACGGGAAUAAAGUGGAGUAUUCAUACUCCUUUGUAUGUACCGUAUGAAUAAGGAUCGGCUAACUCCGUG
rnacentral:rRNA from 1 species